UACGGAGGGUGCGAGCGUUAUCCGGAAUUACUGGGUUUAAAGCGUGCGCAGGCGGUUUUGUAAGUCUGUCGUGAAAGCCCCGGGCUCAACCUGGGAAUUGCGAUGGAGACUGCAAGGCUUGAAUCUGGCAGAGGGGGGUAGAAUUCCACGUGUAGCAGUGAAAUGCGUAGAGAUGUGGAGGAACACCGAUGGCGAAGGCAGCCCCCUGGGUCAAGAUUGACGCUCAUGCACGAAAGCGUGGGGAGCAAACAGG
rnacentral:rRNA from 1 species